CAGCCCGGCCCUGCUGCAGCGGGGGAGGGGAGCGCGGGGCGCCGCGCUGAGGGGAGCUGGGUGCCAUGGCUGCGUGAUGAGCACGUACCGCCAUGGGUGUUUGUAAAGCUCCUCCUGUUCAAUCUGAACACAGCCGGGCACAGCGGCUCCUUCGGGCACUGCGGGACUCGCCCCCCGCUCCCCACACACAGAAGUGGCCCCGCUGUACAGAGCUGCUUUCCCAUCUUAUUUAACGCUGAGGCGGCGGGUGCUGCCCAGCUCCAUGCGGGUACAACCCGACAUGAGGCGGCUCUGCACAGCCCGCAGGGAUCUGCCCCUCAUUUCACGUUAAGGGGAAACGUCUGGAUGGCUUUAAUUCACCCCCUGUGUUUUGCUGUACUGCGUACAUCCGUGUUUCUUAUGUAGGCAAAUAAUGGUAGUUGUAAGCCAUCGUUUGCUGCCCUCCUUAAUACGCAUACGUGAGUCACCUCUGAAACUUGUUUCCAUAGUGAUUCUAUAUGAACAAGUGCGGUGCUUGGAAAACACGACCCUUUGCUUGUCAGGAAUACUGAGAAUAGUGCAGAACUGUCUAGAAUAUCCGUGAGGAGACUCGGAGAGGCCGAACGUACCCAUCCUGUGGGAGCAUCUGCAGGGGAAACACCUUUAAAGUACCAGCAGUGCCUGAGCUGAGCUGUACAAAGCUGUACAAACACGGCCUCUGGUGACCUGCUGUGCUCCCAGGCCCUGCCUGUGUGGGGUGGGAGGGCUGCAGUGCUGCUUGGUUCACACCGCCCCACAGCAGUGCCCCAAUGCCUUCCUAAUCCACAGCCGUCUACAUGGGACAUUUGGAAUGUCAGCCAUCACUUUUCAGUCUUUGAAGGCCCUUUCAAAUAGCUCGUAAGCUGCCAUCUCAGAAGCAGGUAUAGCACUGGAAGGUCAGACUUUGCCACUGAUGCUGGGAUUUGCUGCAUCCUCCAGCUCUAAAGCUCUCUCAUCUGUGUGCAGCCAUCUCCACUCAAAGUUUGCUCAAGGCCCGUGUUUGUGUUAUCAUCAGGCUGCAGUGAUAGCAAAAGGAUGAUAUAGAAUAACAGCUUUGUCUGUAUUGCUGUCAUUAGGAUCCAGUGCCGCUUAUGUGCUUUGCCCUUCGGUAGAUGUCUCCCAAAAGACAAUCUUGGUGAAUCAUGAGAUCUUUGGUAGGAAUGAACAGAACGACGCAUUUAUUAAUACGGGGUAACAGAUGGACCAGCUAGUUUAGCAGCUGGGUUUCCAGUCAUUACUCAUCCACAUCAAAGUAAAGAAUGAUAUAUCUAAAGAAAGCAGUAGGAGUUGACACCUCCUGAAGCUGAGCUCUAGUUGAGCAAUCCCUUGGAAAUUUCAGAAAGCUCCUUUUAGAAAUCUCCUACCAUCACUUGAAUGUACCAUGAAGCUGUCAUGUACAUGUGGGGAAUGCUGGAACACCCCAAGGUCUCUUCCUAUGCUGGACUCCAGUCUUGUGCUGCAGCUGAUCAUCAAGUCUCCAUGAUGGCCAUGUUGAGUGAAGUGAAAGCGCUUCCUCUCUCUUAGCUGAAGAUCUGUCUCAUCAAGUCGUCAAGCUUUAGGCCAGUAAGGAGCAUUGCCCACAAUGCUUAAAUGAAUUAGGAGCCAAGCGCUGUGCAAAGCCAAUGGGAUUUGGGCAGCUUUAUUUCAUUUCUUUGUCUCCUGUGCUUAGUGUGUUCUGGACAUUCGGACUUGGUGCUGAGGCCACAGGGUGGACUGGGCCUUUUGCUGAGCGGCUGACUCACUUCUCUGCAAUGUACACAUGGUGGUUUGUGGCUGUGCUCCCUCAUUGCUCCAAGAGCAGGUCUCCAAGCAGCGCUCCUGCUUCAGUUCUGCAUGCCUCUAACCUGAGUCCUCUCACUGCCUAUAAGAUAACAGGUGGUGCCCAAGAACUGCUAUGCAAGUUCUCUCAGGAUCCAGCGAUGCCAGCACAGCCAGCACCCAGAAGAAGGAGAGAGGAGUGCAAACCGUAAAGAACUGCUGCCUCAGAGCUGCUGUUGCCAUAGAGCUUCUAAUGAGGAAAAAACUGCAGCAAGGAUUUCUGCUGCUGCUGAAGGUAAG